CUCCCUGUCAGCUCACGAGAGACCUGCACAGCUACCCUGCACUCCCCAACCCUCUGCCAAGGCUGAGAAGUUAUUAGGAGUCCAUGAGCCCCAGUUCUCUUCAACCAUGUCCCAGCAAGAGCCUCCAGACCAGGAUGAGGACCCAGCUGACAGAGCCCUACCCAGAAUGAUUGGAGGCCUCUGCAAUAAACAGCUGCCUGGAAGAGAACACCGAACAGGCCUUGGUCACAUCUGCUGUGAUAAGGAAGGAGGUGACAUGUGAGCCUUGCCUGAGCCAACAACAAGAGAUGGGAGUUGAAGGAGGUGAGGGCAAGGAGGGGAAGGUGGAGCUUUGUUUCCCAGCAACUUCCACUUCCUGGGAGGUGGGAUGAUGACUUCCAUUCCAUCCUGCAGAGAGACAAGAUGGCCCAGUGGUUAAGAACUCCAGCUCUAGGAACAAACAGAUGUGCCUGGGCGUUGACCACACUUUCAGCUCCACCAUUUGCUAGCCGUGUGACCUCGGGUGGGGUGUCUUCACUUCUCUGAACCUCAGUUUUCUGUUUUGUAAAAUGCAGGUACCUAUGGGACCUGUCUCAUAGAGCUGCUUUAAAAAUUCAGUGAGGCAACA